UACAAGAAAAAUAACUGAGUGGAAAAGAGAAAGAGCGGAGAAAUGAAUGAUUUUGAUUUGAGUUUCUGAACUCUAUCUGAGAAGAAAUAAGGUUGUGUUCGUGAAGCCUUUAAUUAGUUGAAAACCUUCACAAAGUGUUUGAGAAGAGGGUUUUUCCCCUGUGGUCUUUUGAUCAAUAAUUGAAGGUUAACGGUGUCUUUGGAUUCGAUAGGUUGUUCGCAGAGCUUCAGGUUUGAAUAGCAGUUUAAGUGGCAGGUAACUUUGAUGUAAGUGGUGUCGACUUGGGCGAAGGAGAGAUUAAAGUUUGGGUCGAGUAAAGUGUUUGGUUUGUGUAUAGGAAGAAAUGGGUUUCUAUGGAGGUGGUGGUUGAGAUGUUGCAUCUACAGAUGAUGCAGUUAGAGCCUUGGAGCUGGUUGUGAAUGUUGCAGGGUAAUGAUUGAGAUGAUACUUACAAGGGAAGCUGAGGGUCUUGCUGUGUUGGUAGGAUGUUGUCGCAGCUCAGAUGCAAUUGGUGGUAUUGAAUUCUAAUUAGGAGGCAGUGCCGAAGUAUAUGAUUGAUAGUUGUGUGAUACAGGGAAGCAGUGAUGGAUGAUUGCGAAACAGGUAUGUAUGACCUAUGAGAGGAAGAUGGAUGGCAGGUGGUGAGAUGAGCUGGGAAGUGCAGGUAGUCUUGUAGCUGAUCGCAGAAAACUGAUCGAGUGCUAGUGCUAUUGAACCUGUGGAGUUAUGGGAUGAGUUGAGAAGAUUGCAUUACAGGGAAGAACUCGAGCAACUGAAAGUAUGGCCUAUGAUAGUUUCGAAGAUGCAGAUCGGUGCAAGAAUGCAGUGAAAAUGGUGAUGAUGUGACUGGUGCUGAGCAUCAGAGCAGAACUGGAAUGCAGUGGAAUUAGGAGCUGAUGUUGUAAAGAUACAAUGAGACAGGAAAUGGAAGAUUACAGGGCACGAGGAGCAACUGCUGGUGAAAAAGAGGGGGUCUAACAACACCACCCAAUAAUUCGAUUAGCAAUCUGUAUGGACUAACUCCGAAAUACUUUGCUAGAGAAUCAACUAGACAGUCAGACUCAAUCUAGAUAAAAGUAUCUCAAGAAUUUAAUAUCUCUCUCCUGAUUUGAUUUUUACUCAAGCUAAAAACAAUAGCGAGUCUUUAUCAAAUACAAGGAAUACUUGGACGGUACCAAAGACCAAUGUCCAAGGAUCAAUCGAUAU